AAUGAACGCUAGCGGCAGGCCUAACACAUGCAAGUCGAGCGAGCGGGGGACGGGGGAGUAAUGUAUGGGGACUGCCCGAUAGCGGGGGAUAAAUAAUCGAAACGGUAGCUACUACCGCAUACUAUCGGAUCACCCAUAUGGGAUUAGCUAGUAGGUGAGGUAAUGGCUCACCUAGGCGACGAUCCCUAGCUGGUCUGAGAGGAUGAUCAGCCACACUUGGAGUGAGACCCGCCCCAGACUCCUACGGAGGCAGCAGUGGGGCAUAUUGCGCAAUGGGCGCAAGCCUGAUGCAGCCAUGCCGCUUGAAUGAAGAGGGCCUUAGGGUUUUCAAGUACGUUAAGUCUGCAGGCGGUACCGGCGGAAGUAGCCCCGGCUAACUCCGUGCUAGCAGCCGCGGUAAUAC
rnacentral:rRNA from 1 species